UACGUAGGGUGCGAGCGUUGUCCGGAAUUAUUGGGCGUAAAGAGCUUGUAGGCGGUUUGUCGCGUCUGCUGUGAAAAUCCGGGGCUCAACCCCGGACUUGCAAUGGGUACGGGCAGACUAGAGUGUGGUAGGGGAGACUGGAAUUCCUGGUGUAGCGGUGGAAUGCGCAGAUAUCAGGAGGAACACCGAUGGCGAAGGCAGGUCUCUGGGCCACUACUGACGCUGAGAAGCGAAAGCAUGGGGAGCGAACAGG
rnacentral:rRNA from 1 species